rnacentral:ncRNA from 22 species
UCUGCUUUUCGAAGCAGACUUUUUCGUUGACGAAAAAGAUCUCCAAACCUUUGUCGGCGCGACUUCGCAAGAGUCGCGCUUUUUUUUC